rnacentral:misc_RNA from 1 species
GUAGGUGAACCUGCGGAAGGAUCAUUAACACGUGCUCCACGUUUAUCAAAACCAAUGAGAACCCGUUUUCCGCCGCCCUUCGUUAGAAUGAAUGGGAAUCAGUCCAGUGUAGUGAGUGGGACCGGUCUCGGUCAGCCUGGCUGUUACACACUGCCGAUCUUCGAAAGGAGUGAAGCGACCAUUGGAUCUAUUCUGAAGGCAAACCGUUCUAGUUUCCAAUCUCCACCCAUGAUUGAGUUGCUAGGGCACUAUUAACAAAUUUCACCCAAUUUUGCUAGUUGACUUUAUAUGUGUUCUCUCUUGGUGACGAAAGUCAUUAGGAAGCACACGUUUAUUUAUUUAAACGUUAAAAAAAUACAACUCUUAGCAAUGGAUAUCUUGGUUCUC